CCCAGGCAAAAAGCCCAGUUACCUCUGGCCACUGCAGUUUGGCUCAUCAUCAGGGAACCUUUGCCUCCUCCAAGAUCAAGGCACCACUCCAUUAACAGUCAGAAAGAGGUUUCAUGAGGGUACAGGCACCUCCAGUUUAUCCAGGUCUUCUCACGGGAGCCGGUAGCCAAUGAGGGUAAUGAUAGAGCUUUCUGGACAUGAGUCCAGUUCUGUCUUGCCACCGUGAAUGCAAGCUCUAUUAAUCAACUUUCUUGGCUGGCCUCCACCCACAACUCCAGGGACUGAGCCACAGUGCCUAUUAGCUCCUAUAUGGGAAGCUCUGAAAAGCUGAGAAAACUUUCCUAACAAUUCUGCCAGGAGCCAACUGAAGCUUGGAACUCCAAGGAAUGCUAAAGCUAUAGCCCGAGGACCUCUGGGGCCAUAUCUCCCAGGAAGAUCUUGCCUCCUCACUGAAGCUCCUGGCCUGGCCUCCUGCAGUGCCACACUCCGUGUAUUUGACAAGCUGAGUUGGACACUCCAUGUGGUAGAGUGUCAGUUUGUCAAAUACCCCAAGUGCGGCAUAUGCCUAACAGCUCCAAGCCAGGGCAGUUGGGAUACAACAAACAAAUUGCCAGCUGAAUACAAGAUCACUCUCCAAACACAAACUAAACUUUCACAAGUUAUUUUCAGUGACUUGAGGGAACUGAAGCAUUGUAUCUGAGGGUGCCAGGGGAAAAGUGAGGCAACUCUUGAAGCCACAGAUCUGGAAUGUUUCUACACACAUUGUCAGAGCCCAAGCAGGACAUAAUGGUCUUGAAAAGGUAUAUGGAAUCCAGGGAUGGAAGUGCUCUUUGAUUUGUAUUUUUUUUCUUCACAUUCCUCUUACAGAGUCUCCUAGAAAGGACACCAGAAUUCUCACACAAGCUUCAUGAUAGGGCUUAGAAACCCACUUUCCUGACACUCAGCCUUGGCUUCUAGACACACUUUGACCUUAUCUUUCUCUUCUUCUUCAUGUCUUUUCUCCUUCUGGUAAUACUUUAUCUAUUUUUUUUUCUGCCUACUCAAUUAUUUCUCAUACUUCUGGCUCAGAAAAAUUCCAGUCUCUCCAAGGACUUUUGAAAGUCAACCUACACCUUUUUUCUUCUUCAUUUGAAGAACACACCUUGCCUUAGCCCUUGUAUGUACCCAUUUCUUCUAUUGUCCAAUGGCACUUCUUGCAUUAUUAAUAAACUUUUGCAGUGGAUUUUUUUUCAACAUUUAUUUAUGUUUUUGGGAGAGAGAGAGACAGAGCAUGAACAGGAGAGGGGCAGAGAGAGAGGGAGACACAGAAUCGGAAACAGUCUCCAGGCUCUGAGCCAUCAGCCCAAAGCCUGACGCGGGGCUCGAACUCACGGACCGCGAGAUCGUGACCUGGCUGAAGUCGGACGCUUAACCGACUGCACCACCCAGGCGCCCCUGCAGUGGAUAUUUUUAAUUCCCCCCCAUGAAAUUGUGAGGAAAAUACUGUUUUCUUGAAUUGCUGUCUCCCCUUUCUAUCCCUACACCCAGUAGCUCUGGUUGCAGAAAAUAAUACAUCUUUACUGAUUGACUUUCUACUAGGCUAUUAUCCUUGGAUUUGGGUGAAGAUGCUAUUCAGAAAUUUGUGAAAAAAAUUAAACUGUGGUCACCAUAAUGCUAUAGGAUAUGUGAGGUAAUAAUCAACAUUGAGGGAUUCUCCUCCUGAGAAAUAGGGUCAAGGAAUGAAAUGGAAAAGCAAAAACAUAUGCUCAGAGGACAAAUAUGUUUUGAAAUUAUUUGGUAACUCAAAGUUAUACAGGUGUUUUAUUGCAGAAUUUUCAGUGUCUUUAAUUUUCUAAUGUUGCAUUGGAAAUCUCAAGUAGAAAGAUUUACAGAAUGAAGCAUUUUUUAUUCCUAUCUAAUUGUGGAUUCCCCCCCCCCUCCCAGGGCCAUCUCUUGGUCAGAAUCUGGGAAAAUGCCCUAGAGGGACUCCAUGUCUUCUGUCUCUCUUUUGGAGAUCUGCUUUUUUUUUUUCUCUUCCAGCUUUCCCUGAAUGGCUAUCUGCCUAAGACAAAUUCUGUUAUCAUCCCAUGUUUGUUUAGCCUAUCCUACAGUUUUGAGAUAACCCUGUACCUAUGACUCUCUUACUGACUUGUCUUGUAUGGAAAAAAAAAUAUUAGUUUUCGGGCAAAGAUGAUUCCUACUGCAAUGAAUAUAUGAUCCUAACAGUUCACAGGCCUGUUUUCUGGUCUCUCCUCUAUCACUGACUUGAUGUAUGUGAUUUUAUACUGUCAUGUCCUUCUCUAGGAUGUAUUUCCUCAUAUGUAAUAUGGGAGAAUUAAAAUUAAUAAUCUCCAAGAUUUCUAAGA